AAAUUGAAGAGUUUGAUCAUGGCUCAGAUUGAACGCUGGCGGCAGGCCUAACACAUGCAAGUCGAACGGUAACAGGAAGCAGCUUGCUGCUUCGCUGACGAGUGGCGGACGGGUGAGUAAUGUCUGGGAAACUGCCUGAUGGAGGGGGAUAACUACUGGAAACGGUAGCUAAUACCGCAUAACGUCGCAAGACCAAAGAGGGGGACCUUCGGGCCUCUUGCCAUCGGAUGUGCCCAGAUGGGAUUAGCUUGUUGGUGGGGUAACGGCUCACCAAG
rnacentral:rRNA from 1 species